rnacentral:rRNA from 1 species
GUCGCCGCGGGAAUACGAAGGGUGCAAGCGUUAAUCGGAAUUACUGGGCGUAAAGCGUGCGCAGGCGGCUUGGUAAGUUAGAGGUGAAAGCCUGGAGCUCAACUCCAGAAUUGCCUUUAAGACUGCCGAGCUAGCAGGUGAGAGAGGUAAGUGGAAUUCCGAGUGUAGAGGUGAAAUUCGUAGAUAUUCGGAAGAACACCAGUGGCGAAGGCGGCUUACUGGCUCAUACUGGACGCUGAGGUGCGAAAGCGUGGGGAGCAAACAGGAUUAGAUACCCGAGUAGUCCCUGUCUCUUAUACAC